CUCGCCUACAUGGAGCUGGAAUUGCUAGUAAUCACAGGUCAGCAUACUGUGGUGAAUACGUUCCCGGGCCUUGUACACACCGCCCGUCACACCAUGAGAGUUGAGAAUACCCGAAGCCCAUGUCAAAGUGGUCGAAGGUAGGCUUGAUGAUUGGGGUGAAGUCGUAACAAGGUAGC
rnacentral:rRNA from 1 species